GAUGAACGCCGGCGGUGUGCCUAAUACAUGCAAGUCGUACGCACUGGCCCAACUGAUUGAUGGUGCUUGCACCUGAUUGACGAUGGAUCACCAGUGAGUGGCGGACGGGUGAGUAACACGUAGGUAACCUGCCCCGGAGCGGGGGAUAACAUUUGGAAACAGAUGCUAAUACCGCAUAACAACAAAAGCCACAUGGCUUUUGUUGAAAGAUGGCUUUGGCUAUCACUCUGGGAUGGACCUGCGGUGCAUUAGCUAGUUGGUAAGGUAACGGCUUACCAAGGCGAUGAUGCAUAGCCGAGUUGAGAGACUGAUCGGGCCACAAUGGAACUGAGACACGGUCCAUACUCCUACGGGAGCAGCAGUAGGGAAUCUUCCACAAUGGGCGCAACGCCUGAUGGGAGCAAACACCGCGUGGAGUGGAAAGAAGGGUUUCGCUCGUAAAAGCUCUGUUGUUGGAGAAGAACGUGCGUGAG
rnacentral:rRNA from 1 species